rnacentral:rRNA from 1 species
AGCGAACGCUGGCGGCAGGCUUAACACAUGCAAGUCGAGCGGGCAUAGCAAUAUGUCAGCGGCAGACGGGUGAGUAACGCGUGGGAACGUACCUUUUGGUUCGGAACAACACAGGGAAACUCGUGCUAAUACCGGAUAAGCCCUUACGGGGAAAGAUUUAUCGCCGAAAGAUCGGCCCGCGUCUGAUUAGCUAGUUGGUGAGGUAAUGGCUCACCAAGGCGACGAUCAGUAGCUGGUCUGAGAGGAUGAUCAGCCACAUUGGGACUGAGACACGGACCAAACUCCUACGGGAGGCAGCAGUGGGGAAUAUUGGACAAUGGGCGCAAGCCUGAUCCAGCCAUGCCGCGUGAGUGAUGAAGGCCCUAGGGUUGUAAAGCUCUUUUGUGCGGGAAGAUAAUGACGGUACCGCAAGAAUAAGCCCCGGCUAACUUCGUGCCAGCCGCCGCAGUAA